rnacentral:misc_RNA from 1 species
UUUCCGUAGGUGAACCUGCGGAAGGAUCAUUAAUGAGUUGUCAUGGGGUUCGAUGCUGGCAGCCAGUUUUUGGAUGCAUGUGCUUGCCCUAACAAUCAUCUUCUUCCAAACACCUGUGCACAUUUUUGAGGGAGUCUUGAGUUGGUUGCCGCUCUUGGGUGAUUUUCUCACAUUCUCUUAAAUCAUUAUACGCUAUUAACAAUGUUGAACGUGCUCUGUGCCGCAAGGCCAUUAAUAUAAUACAACUUUUAACAACGGAUCUCUUGGCUCUC